GUUGCCUACGGGACGCAGCAGUAGGGAAUCUUCCACAAUGGGCGAAAGCCUGAUGGAGCAACGCCGCGUGGGUGAAGAAGGUCUUCGGAUCGUAAAACCCUGUUGUUAGGGAAGAAAGUGCGUGAGAGUAACUGUUCACGUUUCGACGGUAUCUAACCAGAAAGCCACGGCUAACUGCGUGCCAGCAGCCGCGGUAAUACGUAGGUGGCAAGCGUUAUCCGGAUUUAUUGGGCGUAAAGGGAACGCAGGCGGUCUUUUAAGUCUGGUGUGAAAGCCUUCGGCUUAACCGGAGUAGUGCAUUGAAA
rnacentral:rRNA from 1 species